AAGGUUGGGGCUGGGAAGAGAGUGCCCAGUGUGAGAGCUGGAGAAUCAGUGCUGUGUGUGGAUACAGGUGCAAGCUGGCCCAGGAGAAUGGCUGGGGGGUCAUGAUCAAGACUGGUGCCCCGUGCCGUUCUGAACGUCUGGCUAAAUACAACCAGCUCAUGAGAAUUGAGGAAGAGCUGGGGGAUGAAGCUCGCUUUGCCGGACAUAACUUCCGUAAUCCCAGUGUGCUGUGAUUCCUCUGCUUGCCUGGAGACGUGGAACCUCUGUCUCAUCCUCCUGGAACCUUGCUGUCCUGAUCUGUGAUAAUUCACCCCCUGAGAUCCCCUGAGCCCCAGGGUGCCCAGAACUUCC
rnacentral:sRNA from 1 species